UNGAAUGGAAGAGCCCCAGGAGAGAUGAG
rnacentral:piRNA from 1 species